rnacentral:misc_RNA from 1 species
UCCGUGUUAACCACGGCAGUCUCGCCAGACACAUGUAACUGGCAAUAGGGGUUGCGCUCGUUAUCCGACUUAACGGUACAUUUCACAACACGAGCUGACGACAACCGUGCAGCACCUGUCUCCAGUGUCCGAAGAGGGGCUCCAUUUCUGGUGCCUUUCACUGGGAUGUCAAACCUUGGUGAGGUGCUCCGCUUACCAUCGAAUUAAACCACAUGCUCCACCGCUUGUGCGGGUCCCCGUCAAUUCCUUUGAGUUUUAGUCUUGCGACCGUACUCCCCAGGCGGGGUGCUUAACGUGUUAACUUCGGCACUAGGGGGGUCGAUGCCACUAAUGCCUAGCACCCAUCGUUUAGGGCGUGGACUAC